ensembl:lncRNA
CUGGAGGGUCCUCGGGGUGCAGCUUCCACCAUGUCCCCUAGGAAAGAGCUUCUUCCUUCAGUCCCAUCUCAAUGGAGGGGUCCAAGUGCACAGGCCCGUGCCGAGAAAGCACAAUCAGUGACUGACGAAAGUCUACCGAAGCCACGCCAGCACAUUAAGUCCAUUCCACAACGCAGAGCUGUGUCUGUCCACGAGGAUGCUCUGUCCAUUACACAAGAGCUGAAAGCAGUGUUACAGAGGUCACCCAUCCGUUUCCGGGGCAACAAAUGGGACCUGCCCUCCUGCACUGAAGAUCCAUCUAGUGGGGAGGAAGCACAGAGUGCACACACCAGUGACAAAGGAAAACAGACAGAUGAUGAAAAGAAGCACACUGUCCAGAAGGAGGAGCUCGAGGCAGAGAGAGGAAGAACUUGCUGUGGAGGUACAUCUGAAACCAAGCGCCAUCUUCCAGGAAAAGAAGAAGGUCCAGCCUCAGGUUGUCCCUCCUCUACAGCUCAAGCUCAACAAGAAGGUCAGCAAGAAGCAGCAGCACUGCAACCCUGCAGUCAAGCUGCAGCAUUAGAUAAAGCUCUGUGUGACCAUGAGAGUCCUUCAGCACGAACCCAUACCCUGGAAAAGUCCCCUACAAUCCCCACAUCCCAGAAAAAGAGCCCAAGCAUAGUCACAGCAUUGCCCCAAGCUCUAGAAAAAUGCCCGAUUCCCCUACGCCCCCAAGAAAAGUCCCCCAGCACAAUCCCAGUUGUGUCUGUAUCCUCAGAUAUCUCCCAAGUGAGUCCUCUGUCCCACCAGAGAAGUUCUGGCACACUGCAACCUAAUAUGGAUAUGAGAACCAGCACACAGGAGAGAGGAGAAGGCGUCUCUAAAGAUUACACGAUGAGGAAAGAGCCACCAGACCAAAGAACUGAGCCCCCGCUGUCUGAAUAACACACAGAGACCAACUUACAGAAGGAGAAAAGACGCACCUGGCAGAGACAGGAGGCAGAGAUCUGUGACACCACUGAACUGGGAUAGUAUGAGGUCAAAGAGUAGCAUGAAUGUUCUACUUUCAUGUGGAUAACUGCUCUCAUGUCAGGGUGUUCUCUUCGUCUGAGAACUAAAUACACAGCACACAUAAUUGGUAUGUUUUUUUUAUUUAUCUUUAUUGUAUGUUAGCUUGUGUAUAGUUUUGAGUAAUACUUUUUUUUUUUAUUAUUUCUGGGUUGAUAAGGAGGGACCAUUCUGAUUCAGACUGUGUGAGGCUUGCAAUAUUUGUUUGAAUUUGACAGCUGUUUUGUGCUUAUUUUCCCUGAAAAGCAAAUAACCCUAAUGUCAAAAAUUGUCAUU